UAGGCAGAAGCAUGAAGAGGANGCGUCUGGCUGUUGACCGGAAGGAUAGUAGGAGACCACCUACCUGCCUAG
rnacentral:tRNA from 1 species